UACGAGGGAUGCAAGCGUUAUCCCGAAUUAUUGGGCGUAAAGCGUUUGUAGGCGGGCGAGUGUGUUUAAUGUUAAAUCUUAAAGCUCAACUUUGAAAUUGCGUUAAAAACUGCUUGUCUUGAGUAUGGUAGGGGUAAAGGGAAUUCCCAGUGUAGCGGUGAAAUGCGUAGAUAUUGGGAAGAACACUAAACAGCGAAGGCACUUUACUAGGCUAAUACUGACGCUGAGAAACGAAAGGUAAGGUAGCGAAACGGAUUAGAUACCCGUGUAGUCUUACCCGUAAACUAUGGACACUAAACGGUAAAUUUUUAAUUUACUGUUAAAGCUAACGCGUUAAGUGUCCCGCCUGGGGAGUAUGCUUGCAAAAGUGAAACUCAAAGGAAUUGACGGGGGCCCGCACAAGCGGUGGAGCAUGUGGUUUAAUUCGACGGUACACGAAGAACCUUACCAGGAUUUGACAUGCUAGAUAGUUGCUUGAAAGAGUAACGUGCCGUAAGGAAUCUAGACACAGGUGGUGCAUGGCUGUCGUCAGUUCGUGUUGUGAAAUGUUGGGUUAAGUCCCGCAACGAACGCAACCCUUGUCUUUAGUUAUUUUCUAAAGAGACUGCCUGUAAUAAACAGGAGGAAGGUAAGGAUGAGGUCAAGUCAUCAUGCCCCUUAUGUCCUGGGCUACACACGUGCUACAAUGGGAAAGACAAUGAGCUGCAAAUCUGUAAAUUUAAGCAAAUCUCUUAAACUUUCUCGUAGUUCGGAUUGUGGGCUGCAACUCGCCCACAUGAAGUUGGAAUCGCUAGUAAUCGCCAGUC
rnacentral:rRNA from 1 species